CUUCUUUUGUAGAGGAAUAAUGGCAGCUACGUGUAGCUGAGAUGCAUGUACUCUACGAAUAAGUAUCGGCUAACUCCGUGCCAGCAGCCGCGGUAAUACGGAGGAUACGAGCGUUAUCCGGAAUUAUUGGGUUUAAAGGGUGCGUAGGUGGCGUAUUAAGUCAGUGGUGAAAAGCUGCAGCUCAACUGUAGUCUUGCCGUUGAAACUGAUAUGCUAGAGAGGAGACGAGGUAUGCGGAAUGUGUGGUGUAGCGGUGAAAUGCAUAGAUAUCACACAGAACGCCGAUUGCGAAGGCAGCGUACCAGGCUCCGUCUGACACUGAAGCACGAAAGCGUGGGGAUCAAACAGGAUUAGAUACCCUGGUAGUCCACGCAGUAAACGAUGAAUACUAGAUUUUUGCGAUAUACUGUAAGAGUCUAAGCGAAAGCGAUAAGUAUUCCACCUGGGGAGUACGCCGGCAACGGUGAAACUCAAAGGAAUUGACGGGGGCCCGCACAAGCGGAGGAACAUGUGGUUUAAUUCGAUGAUACGCGAGGAACCUUACCCGGGCUUGAAUUGCAGACGCAGGAUACAGAGAUGUUGACUCCCUUCGGGGCGUCUGUGAAGGUGCUGCAUGGUUGUCGUCAGCUCGUGCCGUGAGGUGUCGGCUUAAGUGCCAUAACGAGCGCAACCCCUCUCUUCAGUUGCCAUCAGGUAAUGCUGGGCACUCUGGAGACACUGCCACCGUAAGGUGUGAGGAAGGUGGGGAUGACGUCAAAUCAGCACGGCCCUUACGUCCGGGGCUACACACGUGUUACAAUGGCCGGUACAGAGGGACGGUGUAAUGCAAAUUGCAUCUAAUCUUGAAAGCCGGUCCCAGUUCGGACUGGGGUCUGCAACCCGACCCCACGAAGCUGGAUUCGCUAGUAAUCGCGCAUCAGCCAUGGCGCGGUGAAUACGUUCCCGGGCCUUGUACACACCGCCCGUCAAGCCAUGGAAGUUGGGAGUACCUGAAGAGCGUAACCGCAAGGGGCGCUUAAGGGUAAUACCAGUGACUGGGGCUAAGUCGUAACAAGGUAGCCGUACCGGAAGGUGCGGCUG
rnacentral:rRNA from 1 species